CCCGCCGCUCAGCGCGCGGCUUCGUCGUCACAACUCCUAUAUCUUCAUAAAUAUAUAUAUCCACUACCUAUAUAUACCUACCGAUAUGUGAAUGCGAGGAGUACUAUUACCUGCAUGUUUUCAGCAGUAUGCAGCUACGUACAUAUAUAUGUACCGGAUCGCCUAACGACGUGAAUGUAAUAAGCAAUAAUAUUUUCUACCGCUUUUUUUUAUUUCUUUCUAACCUCGAGCUUCUAUAUGUAGCAACAACAUUUUCUACGUACAUAUAUAUGUGCCACCCGUAUUCCGACUGAUAUACCUAUCACUAGUACAAAAGAGAUCU
rnacentral:lncRNA from 1 species